rnacentral:rRNA from 1 species
GACCAAAGAGGGGGACCUUCGGGCCUCUUGCCAUCAGAUGUGCCCAGAUGGGAUUAGCUAGUAGGUGGGGUAACGGCUCACCUAGGCGACGAUCCCUAGCUGGUCUGAGAGGAUGACCAGCCACACUGGAACUGAGACACGGUCCAGACUCCUACGGGAGGCAGCAGUGGGGAAUAUUGCACAAUGGGCGCAAGCCUGAUGCAGCCAUGCCGCGUGUAUGAAGAAGGCCUUCGGGUUGUAAAGUACUUUCAGCGAGGAGGAAGGUGUUGAGGUUAAUAACCUCAGCAAUUGACGUUACUCGCAGAAGAAGCACCGGCUAACUCCGUGCCAGCAGCCGCGGUAAUACGGAGGGUGCAAGCGUUAAUCGGAAUUACUGGGCGUAAAGCGCACGCAGGCGGUCUGUCAAGUCGGAUGUGAAAUCCCCGGGCUCAACCUGGGAACUGCA